rnacentral:rRNA from 1 species
CUCAUUAGCAACAGGAAUAGAAAGAAAAAUCGAUACCGUCAGUAGCGGCGAGCGAAAUCGGUAGAGCCCAAACCAAAGUGCUUGCACUUUGGGGUUGUAGGACUGACAUUGUGGAGUUACAAAGUUAGCAUUUAGCAGAAUCAGCUGGGAAGCUGAGCGAGACAGGGUGAUAGCCCCGUAUGCGAAAAAUGUUGACCUCCCGUCAGGAUCCUGAGUACGGCCGGACACGUGAAAUCCGGUCGGAAUCCGCGAGGA